GAUGAACGCUGGCGGCGUGCCUAAUACAUGCAAGUCGAGCGAACGGACGAGAAGCUUGCUUCUCUGAUGUUAGCGGCGGACGGGUGAGUAACACGUGGAUAACCUACCUAUAAGACUGGGAUAACUUCGGGAAACCGGAGCUAAUACCGGAUGAUAUUUUGAACCGCAUGGUUCAAAAGUGAAAGACGGUCUUGCUGUCACUUAUAGAUGGAUCCGCGCUGCAUUAGCUAGUUGGUAAGGUAACGGCUUACCAAGGCAACGAUGCAUAGCCGACCUGAGAGGGUGAUCGGCCACAGUGGAACUGAGACACGGUCCAGCCCCCUAGGGGAGGCAGCAGGAGGGAAUCUUCCGCAAUGGGCGAAAGCCUUCCGGAGCACCCCCGCGUGAGUGAUGAAGGUCUUCGGUUCGUAAAACUCUUUUAUUAGGGAAGAAAAAAUGUGUAACUAACUGUCCACAUUUUGACAGUCCCUAAUCAAAAAGCCACGGCUAACUACGU
rnacentral:rRNA from 1 species